AGAGUUUGAUCCUGGCUCAGGAUGAACGCUGACAGAAUGCUUAACACAUGCAAGUCUACUUGAACUUCGGUUUGGGUGGCGGACGGGUGAGUAACGCGUAAAGAACUUGCCUCACAGUUAGGGACAACAUUUGGAAACGAAUGCUAAUACCUGAUAUUAUGAUUUUAGGGCAUCCUAAGAUUAUGAAAGCUAUAUGCACUGUGAGAGAGCUUUGCGUCCCAUUAGCUAGUUGGAGAGGUAACGGCUCACCAAGGCGAUGAUGGGUAGCCGGCCUGAGAGGGUGAACGGCCACAAGGGGACUGAGACACGGCCCUUACUCCUACGGGAGGCAGCAGUGGGGAAUAUUGGACAAUGGACCAAAAGUCUGAUCCAGCAAUUCUGUGUGCACGAUGACGUUUUUCGGAAUGUAAAGUGCUUUCAGUUGGGAAGAAAAAAAUGACGGUACCAACAGAAGAAGUGACGGCUAAAUACGUGCCAGCAGCCGCGGUAAUACGUAUGUCACAAGCGUUAUCCGGAUUUAUUGGGCGUAAAGCGCGUCUAGGUGGUUAUGUAAGUCUGAUGUGAAAAUGCAGGGCUCAACUCUGUAUUGCGUUGGAAACUGCAUGACUAGAGUACUGGAGAGGUAAGCGGAACUACAAGUGUAGAGGUGAAAUUCGUAGAUAUUUGUAGGAAUGCCGAUGGGGAAGCCAGCUUACUGGACAGAUACUGACGCUAAAGCGCGAAAGCGUGGGUAGCAAACAGGAUUAGAUACCCUGGUAGUCCACGCCGUAAACGAUG
rnacentral:rRNA from 1 species